AUGACUGUGUCAUGUCUUUAUUAAGGUAAUUGCUCCAUGGUAACAGUUAUAUAACUAAAUAACCACCGGAAAUACAGCACUUAAGAUGUGCCAAAUUAAGGAAGAAUAGAAAACUAGAGCAAGGAACUUGCACAGCAUUUAACGAUUUAGUUACUGUAUUUAAAUGUUGAAAGAGAAGAAAAUGGGAGUUAAUUAGCAUAAAUGGGAAAAUAAUUCAUGCAAAAGACUAUCAGAAGCAUACAUAAUCGCAAACAGAGAACAGGGACCAUAAUGAAAUCUAACUAAAAUAAAACUGGAUAUAAGUAAAUGACCUCAUCCUGAAGUAAGAUGGGAAAAAGAGAAACAAGAAAUGGUCGCGCAUGUUUUACAGGCAUAAUGCUUAUUGGUUAAUCAUAUAUUAUAACUUCAUAGAAAAUUGAUUAUCGCAGGGUACAUAGUACACACUUUGCACAACCACUUGAGGUUAGGGCGGAGGAGGAACUAGUACAAGAAACCCACUUAUACUGGGGCAAAAUUCGUAUACAAUUGGGCGCACAUAGUGGAAAUUUAAAGAAAGACGUCAUGUUACCAGGCUUUUGCCUGUUGCUUCCACUUCAUCUUGAUUAAACAGAGGAACAUACAAUCUGUUUUAAUAGACAAAUAUUUGAUAGUUACUUCACCCUACACUUCUUUUAUCCUUAGCUCUUAUCUGAUAUGGAAGAUAAUAAUUUCUUAAAAUCCACAAUAUACGAAGCCCUUGUUUGAGCCCCAUUCUUGUCAAAAAAUGCAUUUUUAAAUAGUGUAUUGAUGAAAAAUGUGUGGUUAAAAAAUAAAGAAAAGUCAUAUAUUUGGGUGUAAUAUUAUUUUAUUGAAGAAUGUGUGAUUAAAGUGGAUCAAAUCACAGUUGAAAAAUGUAUUUUGAUAGAAAAUGGGACUCAAACAAGGGCGGAAGGAAGACAACUCGCAACAUUAUACAAACAAAAGAUGCAUGGGGACAGACAAUUUCUUUAUUUGUUAAUUAAAAUUUUGAGCAAUAUUUGCCAUUNNN
rnacentral:lncRNA from 1 species